ensembl:lncRNA
UGUAAGCUCUGUGAAACAGAUACUUUUCUGUUAAUGAUGCUGUGAUUUCUGAAGAACUGUUUACUUACUAUAUUGGAAUGUAAUAAGAACAUCACCAUUAAUUGUCACCAAUUUGCACUAAUUUUAUUUACAUGUCUACGGUUAACUCUUCUUUAAUCUCUAAUCUGUGUUGUAAAUUAUUAAGAAAGCCGAUGGAUUGCUGGAGUGAAUAGAAUCCCUAGUCUCAUAAAAGCCAAUUUACUCUUCUCAGAAGUGGUCUCAUUACUUUUUUAUUUAAUAUACAAGGUAUUUAACAUAAUAACCUGAUGAAGGAUGACUGCGUCUGCUCUGCAUGGAUCACAUUCUGUCCCCAGAGAGUUUUCAAAGUACAGAAAUAUGCAACACUUCAAAUCCUGACAGAGAAUAAGCCAAGAUCCCUGUUCUUAUAAACUGCCAGCAAAUGCUGCUUGACCUUUGCUCUAAACUUGUAGGUAACAGAGGGAAGCAUCACAGAAGAAGCAGAAGGACUAGCAACGUGAAGGCAUUUCAGGAGUGUGUGGCAAAUGCUGUCUUACAGAAGACAGGCAAUUUGUACUGUCCACUGGAAUGACAGAAGAAAAAAUAAAGUGGUUUUCUGAGGCUUUUACUAAAUAUGGAAGCACAGGCUUCAUUAUCCCAAGUGCACCCCAUCACACCUGCCCAAACUGGUUCUGAACCAUAGAUGGAGAAUGAUGAGAUUUUGCAAGCAAACUCACAGGAGUCUGAACUGAAGACUGCAGAACUACAUGUCUCCUGAAAUGCAAAUGGCUUCAGCUGAGAUUCUUACGAGUGCCU